rnacentral:rRNA from 1 species
CACGUAGGGGCCAAGCGUUGUCCGGAUUUAUUGGGCGUAAAGAGCUCGUAGGCGGUUCGACAAGUCGGGUGUGAAAACUCCGGGCUCAACCCGGAGACGCCACCCGAUACUGUCGUGACUGGAGUCCGGUAGGGGAGUGGGGAAUUCCUGGUGUAGCGGUGAAAUGCGCAGAUAUCAGGAGGAGCACCGGUGGCGAAGGCGCCACUCUGGGCCGGUACUGACGCUGAGGAGCGAAAGCGUGGGUAGCAAACAGG